rnacentral:rRNA from 1 species
GGAAAUCUCACCAGGCCCGGACACUGGAAGGAUUGACAGAUUGAUAGAUCUUUCUUGAUUCGGUGGGUGGUUGUGCAUGGCCGUUCUUAGUUGGUGGAGUGAUUUGUCCGGUUAAUUCCGUUAACGAACGAGACCUUAACCUGCUAAAUAGUGACGCGGUUCAUCGAACCGUGGGCCACUUCUUAGAGGGACUAUCGGAUUCAAACCGAUGGAAGUGUGAGGCAAUAA